rnacentral:rRNA from 1 species
AUUGAACGCUGGCGGCAGGCCUAAGACAUGCAAGUCGAGCGAGAAAGUACUUCGGUACGAGUACAGCGGCGGACGGGUGAGUAACGCGUAGGAAUCUACCCAGUAGUGGGGGACAACUCGGGGAAACUCGAGCUAAUACCGCAUACGCCCUACGGGGGAAAGCGGGGGAUCUUCGGACCUCGUGCUAUUGGAUGAGCCUGCGUAAGAUUAGCUUGUUGGUGAGGUAAUGGCUCACCAAGGCUACGAUCUUUAGCUGGUCUGAGAGGAUGAUCAGCCACACCGGGACUGAGACACGGCCCGGACUCCUACGGGAGGCAGCAGUCGGGAAUAUUGCGCAAUGGGCGAAAGCCUGACGCAGCCAUGCCGCGUGUGUGAAGAAGGCCCUAGGGUUGUAAAGCACUUUCAAUUGUGAGGAAAGGUUGACGAUUAAUACUCGUCAGCUGUGACGUUAACUUUAGAAGAAGCACCGGCUAACUCCGUGCCAGCAGCCGCGGUAAUACGGAGGGUGCAAGCGUUAAUCGGAAUUACUGGGCGUAAAGCGCGCGUAGGCGGUUUUUUAAGUCGGAUGUGAAAGCCCCGGGCUCAACCUGGGAACUGCAUCCGAUACUGGAAGACUAGAGUGCGGGAGAGGGAGGUAGAAUUCCAUGUGUAGCAGUGAAAUGCGUAGAUAUGUGGAGGAAUACCAGUGGCGAAGGCGGCCUCCUGGCUCGACACUGACGCUGAGGUGCGAAAGCGUGGGGAGCAAACGGGAUUAGAUACCCCGGUAGUCCACGCCGUAAACGAUGUCUACUAGCUGUAGGGGUACUUGAGACCUUUGUAGCGCAGCUAACGCACUAAGUAGACCGCCUGGGGGAGUACGGCCGCAAGGUUAAAACUCAAAUGAAUUGACGGGGGCCCGCACAAGCAGUGGGAGCAUGUGGUUUAAUUCGAUGCAACGCGAAGAACCUUACCAGGCCUUGACAUCCCCGGAACUUUCUAAAAGAUAGAUUGGUGCCUUCGGGAACCGGGUG